ACGUAGGAGGCAAACGUUAUCCGGAUUUACUGGGCGUAAAGCGCGUGUAGGUGGUUCUGUAAGUAGGGCGUGAAAGCUCCUGGCUCAACUGGGAGAGGCCGUUCUAAACUGCAGAGCUAGAGGAUGGUAGAGGGAGGUGGAAUUCCGGGUGUAGCGGUGGAAUGCGCAGAUAUCCGGAGGAACACCAGUGGCGAAAGCGGCCUCCUGGACCAUUCCUGACACUCAGACGCGAAAGCUAGGGUAGCAAACGG
rnacentral:rRNA from 1 species